CAGAGGUAGCGGCCGAACGCCGUGGGGCACUCGUAGGCAGCCACGUGGGCGUCGGCGAGGAAGUCGGCGUCGACGGUGACGAGGACGCCGUGCUCGUACAUCUCCGGGACCCCCUUGAGGCAGGGGUGGGCGGAGGAGAGCCCCGGCCCGGUGAGCAGGCCGGCGUUGAUGGCCACCAUGUCCACCCCUCUGUCCAUGGCCAAGGCCCAGGCCGUCUUCUCCGACAGCGUCUUGGCCAGAGCGUGCCACAACUGUACCAACCACAGUAACAUGCUGCUAGGCGCUUGUAUUGCACGCGGAUAAUUAACGCCAAGAGCGACGGGACUGCCGCGUUGCUUUCUUGGGGUCUGGUAGCCCGCUUUCUUUCCGUGCUGGGUUUCGCAACAAGAUUGUCUCGCUAGUUGUUGGAUUCGUAACAGGACAGGCAUGCAGCUCUCCUGCUUUUCGUGUCCAUUCAAGUGCUUGCUGGGUCUCGCAACAAGACUGUCUCA